rnacentral:rRNA from 1 species
CCUACGGGUGGCAGCAGUGGGGGAUAUUGCACAAUGGGGGAAACCCUGAUGCAGCGACGCCGCGUGAGUGAAGAAGUAUUUCGGUAUGUAAAGCUCUAUCAGCAGGGAAGAAAAUGACAGUACCUGACCAAGAAGCCCCGGCUAACUACGUGCCAGCAGCCGCGGUAAUGCGUAGGGGGCAAGCGUUAUCCGGAUUUACUGGGUGUAAAGGGAGCGUAGGGGGUAGUGUAGGUUUGGGGGGAAAGCCCGGGGCCCAACCCCGGGCCUGCUAUGGAAACUGUCUAACGGGAGUACAGGAGGGGGAGGGGGAAUGCGUGGUGUAGCGGGGAAAUGC